GAUGAACGCUGGCGGCGUGCCUAAUACAUGCAAGUCGAGCGAACGGACGAGAAGCUUGCUUCUCUGAUGUUAGCGGCGGACGGGUGAGUAACACGUGGAUACCUACCUAUAGGACUGGGAUAACUUCGGGAAACCGGAGCUAAUACCGGAUAAUAUUUUGAACCGCAUGGUUCAAAAGUGAAAGACGGUCUUGCUGUCACUUAUAGAUGGAUCCGCGCUGCAUUAGCUAGUUGGUAAGGUAAUGGCUUACCAAGGCAACGAUGCAUAGCCGACCUGAGAGGGUGAUCGGCCACACUGGAACUGAGACACGGUCCAGACUCCUACGGGAGGCAGCAGUAGGGAAUCUUCCGCAAUGGGCGAAAGCCUGACGGAGCAACGCCGCGUGAGUGAUGAAGGUCUUCGGAUCGUAAAACUCUGUUAUUAGGGAGAACAUAUGUGUAAGUAACUGUGCAAUCUUGACGUACCAAUCGAA
rnacentral:rRNA from 1 species